rnacentral:lncRNA from 1 species
AUAUUGAAGGCUUAAUGGAACAAAGUUUGAACUUCCCCAAGAAAGAAGAAAUGCUACUCUCAGGCUUCACCUCUAAAAGUUGCAUACUGCAACUUUUCCCUCAGUCUCCAGCCCACAAACCCGCUACAUUAGACUUUAGACCCACAAGUCCUCUAUAAUUGUGUGAGUCAUUUUCUUAAAGUAAAUCUGUUUCUCUCUCUCUUUUUGUUCUCUCUCUCUGUCUCUCCACAUACGUAUACACAUCCUGUAGCUCCUGGUGCUCUGGGGACGCCUAAUACAGCCGUUUUUGGAAAAUAAUUUCCUAACAUAAACAAGACUUUCAAAUAUAUUUAUGUUCUUUGACUCAAAAACUCUUCUUGAAAUUGUUUAUAACUGUAUUAUAAGGAAUAUGGAACUGUAGCUACAAGCCAAGAAACAUCCAAGAAUGCCUGGAACAAGCAGAAACUGGAAAUGGCAAGAAUAAGAAUAUCCCAUAGAGCAUCUGGAGGAAACAGCCCAGCUGACACCAGGAUUUUGAACUCCUGACCUCCAGAACUGUAGCAGAAUCAAUUUAUGUUGUAAUUUUAAUAAUUUUUGUUGUUCUAAACCACCAAGGUUGUGGUAUCCUUUUAAAAAAUAGGAACCCGCUUAUUUUGUUUCAAAACUUUAUUUAUCUCAAAAUAAAUUACUCAUUACAGAAGCAACAAGAAACUAAUACUCCGUUCUAUAAUUGUUCUUUUAAAAAAAGACUUUUGAUUUUUAAUAGCAAAUACAUCCCUUUAUAAAUGUACACUAAUCCUUGAGGGUCAGAAUGAAAAACAUACACAAAAAUAUACGUAGCAAAGAACUACCAAAUCAAUACCUGUUUUCAUUAUCAAUUUUGAUAAGGGUAAUUUGUUAUUCAUUAUAAAGUUCCAAAAUAAGCUAGUUUCCACUUUUUAAAAGAAUUUUAGCUUUAAAGCCUGAACACCCCUCAAUAUAUAUCUAAU